ACAACUUUCAACAACGGAUCUCUUGGUUCUGGCAUCGAUGAAGAACGCAGCGAAAUGCGAUAAGUAGUGUGAAUUGCAGAAUUCAGUGAAUCAUCGAAUCUUUGAACGCACAUUGCGCCCCUUGGUAUUCCAUGGGGCAUGCCUGUUCGAGCGUCAUUUGUACCUUCAAGCC
rnacentral:rRNA from 1 species